ACUCCUGCGGGAGGCAGCAGUGGGGAAUUUUGGACACUGGGCGAAAGCCUGAUCCAGCAAUGCCGCGUGAGUGAAGAAGGCCUUCGGGUUGUAAAGCUCUUUUGUCAGGGAAGAAACGGUGAGAGCUAAUAUCUUUUGCUAAUGACGGUACCUGAAGAAUAAGCACCGGCUAACUACGUGCCAGCAGCCGCGGUAAUACGUAGGGUGCAAGCGUUAAUCGGAAUUACUGGGCGUAAAGCGUGCGCAGGCGGUUUUGUAAGUCUGAUGUGAAAUCCCCGGGCUCAACCUGGGAAUUGCAUUGGAGACUGCAAGGCUAGAAUCUGGCAGAGGGGGGUAGAAUUCCACGUGUAGCAGUGAAAUGCGUAGAUAUGUGGAGGAACACCGAUGGCGAAGGCAGCCCCCUGGGUCAAGAUUGACGCUCAUGCACGAAAGCGUGGGGAGCAAACAGGAUUAGAUACCCGGGUAGUCCCAUG
rnacentral:rRNA from 1 species